rnacentral:lncRNA from 1 species
UCGCCAUCAACCCAUGUUUUAAUCCAUGUUUAUUUCCUCUCAAACCCGCCGCAAGACCUCCAUUUUCGCCGCCGGAGCUGCUGCGGCCCAGGAAAAAAUCCCACCGCCUAUUUGUCGUAAAAUCCGUUUUGAAAUACGACCCGUUUGAUUCAUUCAUUGCUAAUGAUCCUGGAACCCAUGUUCUUAAUGUGGAUCCCGUUUAUGAACCCACCCCUCGUAAUCGUCCCCUUCGAAGAAUUUUGGAAUUUUUUUAAAUUAGUUUUUGAGAUUUUCUUUUGUGCAGGGAUGAAUUGGGUUUUUGGGUUUUUUAAUUUUGGAAUUUUUUCUGGAAUAUCGUUGGAUUUGCAGGUUGUUCGAACAACCUUAGCUGCAAUGAUUUAGUGCUUCGUUGGAUUUGCAGGUUGUUCGAACAACCUUAGCUGGAAUAUCAUUGGAUUUACA